AGAGUUUGAUCAUGGCUCAGAAUGAACGCUGGCGGCGUGCUUAACACAUGCAAGUCGAACGAGAAAGCUUUAGCUUGCUAGAGCGAGUAAAGUGGCGCACGGGUGAGUAACGCGUGGGUAAUCUGCCUUCGAAUUUGGGAUAACACCCCGAAAGGGGUGCUAAUACCGGAUAAUAUCUUUUGUAUUGCGGUACGGAAGAUCAAAGACAGCCUCUACAUGUAAGCUGUUGUUUGGAGAUGAGCCCGCGUACCAUUAGCUUGUUGGUGGGGUAAUGGCCUACCAAGGCGACGAUGGUUAGCUGGUCUGAGAGGAUGAUCAGCCACACUGGAACUGGAACACGGUCCAGACUCCUACGGGAGGCAGCAGUGAGGAAUUUUGCGCAAUGGGCGAAAGCCUGACGCAGCAACGCCGCGUGAGUGAUGAAGGAUUUCGGUUCGUAAAGCUCUGUCAAGUGGGAAGAACCUAUUUAAAGUUAACAGCUUUAGAUACUGACGGUACCACUGAAGGAAGCACCGGCUAACUCCGUGCCAGCAGCCGCGGUAAU
rnacentral:rRNA from 1 species